UACGAAGGGGGCGAGCGUUGUUCGGAUUUACUGGGCGUAAAGGGCGCGUAGGCGGCCCUCCUAGUCGGGUGUGAAAGCCCCGGGCUCAACCUGGGAAUUGCGCGCGAAACGGGGGGGCUUGAGUUCGGGAGAGGAGCGUGGAAUUCCCAGUGUAGAGGUGAAAUUCGUAGAUAUUGGGAAGAACACCGGUGGCGAAGGCGGCGCUCUGGACCGAGACUGACGCUGAGGCGCGAAAGCGUGGGGAGCAAACAGG
rnacentral:rRNA from 1 species